GACAGUUUGGCCGAGUGGUUAAGGCGCAUCCCUGCUAUUUAUCUAGAAAUAGCAUUAUGCUUACGUAAUCGAGGAUGUUGUGGAUCACAGCGCAGGUUCGAGUCCUGCAACUGUCG